CUCUUGUAAAACUUUAAAAUAAGAGGUCCCGCCUGCCCUGUGACUAUAAGUUUAACGGCCGCGGUAUUUUGACCGUGCGAAGGUAGCGCAAUCACUUGUCUUUUAAAUGGAGACCUGUAUGAAUGGCAUAACGAGGGCUUAACUGUCUCCUUUUUCAAGUCAAUGAAAUUGAUCUCCCCGUGCAGAAGCGGGGAUAACAACAU
rnacentral:rRNA from 2 species